GUCGCUCCGUCGUUACCAAAGCGUCAAAGAACUUCCGGAAGCCACUGGUUGCAGACACUAGCCACCGGUUCCAUAGGCUUAUUUUUGCAGGCUGCUGCCUAUCACAAGUAGUAGGGAUCUGCUAAAAACAAGCAAACAGGGUCAGUGACUACAGGAAUACAAAAGAAGAUACAAAGAAGAUAGUACUUGUGGAGGAGACUUGGAAACUCGGCAUAGAACCUAGAAGCCUCCAAGCUGGCACCACUCCAGGGGAUAAGGCUGGCCUUUGUGUAUCUCAACUUACCCUAGUAAACAUAUUCUGCCAAGCCACGGGAAAGUAAGGAACACUUACUAAGCACGUGCUCUGUGUCAAUUAUCUUUACAAAUACCUCAUUAAAUCCUCACAGUGCACUUAAGAGUUCGACAGGCCCUGCGACAGCUGUGAUGUUCCUACCAAGCAGAAGUUUAUCUGGGAGCAGACCUCACUAGGUCCUGUUAGCUGUCCAUCCUGGGGCCUAACUUCAAGCCCAGCUGGAGGUGCCAUCACCAUUCUCAUCAUACCUGUGAAGGACCAGCUGCCAGAGAACUUGGCUCCUCAAAUUCUAAUCAGGCUUGAUCUAGCACAGAGGUGCAAUCUGCCAGGGAGGGUGCCAAGACAAAGGCUUGUAAGGAUAUCAUUUGAUGUCUCUGGGGGGGUGGUGAGACUCCCUCCACGUGUCCAGAGCAUAGUGUGAAAGGGAUAAUGCUCUGGAGACUUGCCAGCAGCUCCUCCUUCCCUCAGAGGAGACAGUGAGUUCUUGGAGUCCUUUCCACUCCUUGGGAUCCUUGGUGUUUCCCACUCCUGGCUCAUCUGGCUCUGUGCCCAGGUUGUGCGCAAUGUUGGACUGCCCACUUUUAAAAGUUAGCACAAUUUUUGGGGAGGUAUUUGUGCUUUUAUUAUGAAAGAGGUUUGAGAAAAUAUAGCACAACAUCCUAUCUCUUCUGUAGAGUGAGCUGGGUUUUACUCUCUAAUGCCACUUCCCAAGGGUCCCAAGGGAGUUGAGGUAGGCUUUCCUAUCAGUGAUUAUACCUGGGCUUUUUUCCCUACUGUCAUUUUUCUUAUUGGAUGUGUUUCUUGUGGAAGAACAGUGCUUUCACUUAGCAUUGUGACUUCUAGCACCUGACUCUGACAGUAAAUAAUGGACCCUGAAAUAAAGGGCUUGUGCUUAUUGAAGACUGACCCAUACCCAUGAACUGAGCCCAAGAACAGUGCUUCCCUGGCAGGUAAAAUUCUUGUUUGGGGGAAAAAGAUCACUUGGGAAAAUAAAUGCCAACUCAAAAAAGCCACCUGAGGAACAGAGAAGACAUUGGGGCAUUGCUGAGUGGGAGGGGACAGUGGUACACUGGACUAAAAGCCAUACUCUAAGAUCUCUUCCAAAGAGAUCACAAGCUUGUUUAAAGAAGAGUCAAAGUUGUCGCAAAAAUCAGAGCAAAGGCAAAUGUUCACAGUGAUCCUUUGAUCCGACUUGAGUGACAGCUUGAGAAACCAUCUUUUCCCUUCUCAAAUGAGUUUCUCUCCCCAAACCUAGACACAGAGUACUGGGCUUGGGACUGGAUUUCUAGAAUUAGAACACAGUCUCUUGGCAAAAUAUGUUUUCCCAUCACCAAGUGUCCACAUCAUUACAACCACUCUCUUUUCAUAUUUCCCCCUUUUCUGGAGGGAGAACUAAUGUGCAGGAUUCUCCUGUGGCUCAGAGCCCUAACCUAAUUCACUUCUUACCCCUCUGACCUGGGGUCUGUUCUGUAGUCUACUGGCCAAAAUUGACCACAGCAAACAUUCUGUUUAACAUGUGCGUACAGGGGAGGGGGGAGUUUGAAAUAGAGAUACCCAUUGCUAAUUGUGUUGAAUGAAGAUAAAUGAGUCCUUUGUUUCAAUGAGAGAAAUUUGAGGAAAGUGCCCAAGAAACCUUCACUUGGACAAAUGAGGGGGUAUGUCUAGGUUCCAGGAGUCCAGAGGCACCUGAAGAGCAAAUGGUUUAUCCUUUUAUUCUCCUCUCAGAACCCCUAGGGCCUCUGCCAAAUUGAGAUCAAGAUGAGGGGCUUCUCACAAAGAAUUAAAUACAUGUACACAUACACACAGUGUGGAUGUAGACUCAUAGAGCUCCCAGACUGGUGGCUGCUAGUGUCUACCCUCUGUAUUUGCUGUUAGGUUGGGUCUCAAUCUGAACAGCUCAGAAUUCACUGUGUUAGUGGCUUCCCUCGCCCAUUUAUAUUAAUCCUGACAAGCGUUUGAGUUUGCAACCCUUAUUACAACUCUGCCAUGGAACAAUGUGAUAACUGCAAACAUAGCAACAACCCUGAUAUUUGUAUAAGGAUUUUGAUCUGUGGCCCAGCAGCAUCAAUAGCACCUGGAAGCUUGUUUAAAUGCAGAAUCUCAGGCUCCUGAAUCAGAAUCUGCAGUUUAACAAGAUCCUCAGGUGAUUCAAUUCACAUUGAAGUUUGAGAAGCACUUGUUUAAUAGACCAUGGACAACGGCCAUGGGAACCUGGGCAGAGUUCUUGGGCCUCUGGAUUACUUGUUUCGUGUUUUGUCACCUUCCAUCAGUGACUCUAUAUUCUAAAUCCUAAAAGGCCUAUGAGUUUGUUUCAGGGACAGCAAGAAAACAGAGAGCUAGAGAAAUGUAUCCGAUGUUGUAGGCAGUUUGGAAAGGGAGGUGAUGAUAGCUAAAAGGGAGAGACACACAUGGAGCCAAUCAAUUCCUGGGUCCUAUGGGAUACUUAGAGUGCUCCCCAACAUCCACUCCCUAGUAUAUUAAAUAUGACCUGGUUACCAGAUACUAAAGCAGGACUAAGAAAGCCAAGGGUUAUAGAAAUGAAACCAGGCUGCUGAAAACACACACAGGACAAGGGUUUUAGCCAUAGAGUUCAACCAGCCACUUAACUGUUGUCUGCUAUAAAGUUGUCACCCAAUCACA